AUGGUCUUAGCUUGCUAAGGCUGAUGGCGACCGGCGCACGGGUGAGUAACACGUAUCCAACCUGCCGUCUACUCUUGGCCAGCCUUCUGAAAGGAAGAUUAAUCCAGGAUGGCAUCAUGAGUUCACAUGUCCGCAUGAUUAAAGGUAUUUUCCGGUAGACGAUGGGGAUGCGUUCCAUUAGAUAGUAGGCGGGGUAACGGCCCACCUAGUCAACGAUGGAUAGGGGUUCUGAGAGGAAGGUCCCCCACAUUGGAACUGAGACACGGUCCAAACUCCUACGGGAGGCAGCAGUGAGGAAUAUUGGUCAAUGGGCGAUGGCCUGAACCAGCCAAGUAGCGUGAAGGAUGACUGCCCUAUGGGUUGUAAACUUCUUUUAUAAAGGAAUAAAGUCGGGUAUGCAUACCCGUUUGCAUGUACUUUAUGAAUAAGGAUCGGCUAACUCCGUGCCAGCAGCCGCGGUAAUACGGAGGAUCCGAGCGUUAUCCGGAUUUAUUGGGUUUAAAGGGAGCGUAGAUGGAUGUUUAAGUCAGUUGUGAAAGUUUGCGGCUCAACCGUAAAAUUGCAGUUGAUACUGGAUGUCUUGAGUGCAGUUGAGGCAGGCGGAAUUCGUGGUGUAGCGGUGAAAUGCUUAGAUAUCACGAAGAACUCCGAUUGCGAAGGCAGCCUGCUAAGCUGCAACUGA
rnacentral:rRNA from 1 species